rnacentral:rRNA from 1 species
GAUGAACGCUGGCGGCGUGCCUAAUACAUGCAAGUCGAGCGAACAGACGAGGAGCUUGCUCCUCUGACGUUAGCGGCGGACGGGUGAGUAACACGUGGAUAACCUACCUAUAAGACUGGGAUAACUUCGGGAAACCGGAGCUAAUACCGAAUAAUAUAUUGAACCGCAUGGUUCAAUAGUGAAAGACGGUUUUGCUGUCACUUAUAGAUGGAUCCGCGCCGCAUUAGCUAGUUGGUAAGGUAACGGCUUACCAAGGCAACGAUGCGUAGCCGACCUGAGAGGGUGAUCGGCCACACUGGAACUGAGCCACGGUCCAGACUCCUACGGGAGGCAGCAGUAGGGAAUCUUCCGCAAUGGGCGAAAGCCUGACGGAGCAACGCCGCGUGAGUGAUGAAGGUCUUCGGAUCGUAAAGCUCUGUUAUUAGGGAAGAACAAAUGUGUAAGUAACUAUGCACGUCUUGACGGUACCUAGUCAGAAAGCCACGGCUAACUACGUG